rnacentral:tRNA from 1 species
GGACAGGUGGCCGAGUGGUCGAAGGCGCACGCCUGGAAAGUGUGUAGGCUCGGAAGGGUCUCCAGGGUUCGAAUCCCUGUCUGUCCGCCA